GACCGGUGGUUCAGCUGGUUAGAGCGUCGCAUUUACACUGCGAAGAUCAGAGGUUCAAAUCCUUUCUGGUGCA
rnacentral:tRNA from 4 species